rnacentral:rRNA from 1 species
GACGAACGCUGGCGGCAUGCCUAACACAUGCAAGUCGAACGGUAAGGCUCCUUCGGGAGCACACGAGUGGCGAACGGGUGAGUAACACGUGAGCAACCUGCCCUUGACUUCGGAAUAACAGCUGGAAACAGCUGCUAAUACCGGAUACGACUCAUCUCCUCAUGGAAGUGAGUGGAAAGCUCCGGCGGUCAAGGAUGGGCUCGCGGCCUAUCAGCUAGUUGGUGAGGUAACGGCUCACCAAGGCUUCGACGGGUAGCCGGCCUGAGAGGGCGACCGGCCACACUGGGACUGAGAUACGGCCCAGACUCCUACGGGAGGCAGCAGUGGGGAAUAUUGCACAAUGGGCGAAAGCCUGAUGCAGCAAUGCCGCGUGCGGGAUGACGGCCUUCGGGUUGUAAACCGCUUUCAGCACCGACGAAGCGCAAGUGACGGUAGGUGCAGAAGAAGGACCGGCUAACUACGUGCCAGCCGCCGCCGUAAAAC